CUGGAAAUGAAAGAAGCGAUCUGAUUGGUUGCUAUGGUUAACUCAGCAUUUUUUCCUCUGGACACUAACAUUUAUUCAGCUAUCCUGAGGGGAGCAGUAGAAAGAGGAGUGAUCUCCAAUGCAAUGACAACUAAGCUGUUCCCUGCGACACCUAAGUGAACAUUUAACGGGUACUGACUUUACCGAGAGGCGUGGUCUGACGAAGCGGUCUUGUCCUGCGAAACAGCUGUCACACCUGUGAGUGCUUCCGGCAUCUCAGCCGCCUGCUGAGUAUGGCUGUGUUCACCCACCCUCUCUUUUACAUGGAAUAAAGAAAAUCUGCAUGGAUUUCCCGGCAGUGUACAAUAUGUGGAGUCCACUACCAAUAAAUUGAAAGAAAGAACUCGAAAACAUUUAUCGGACAUCCCACAUUUUUGUUCUCGCAAUAUCUCCAUGGUGUCACAACAUUGUGGACAGAAACAUGAAGGCAGCUAUUCCACCAUGUUUUUACAGGGUAUUGAGAAAGUAUCGGCAAUUAUAAACAGAAGAUCCUAGAUAGGGAAGUAUUUUGGAUCCUCGAAUUAGAUACCCACUUACCAAGAGGAUUAAACAGAAGAUUAGAUGUUACAUUGCACUAUUAAUGUACCUUUAUAUAUUUUUUUUGUUUAAUCUAUAAUUAUUUAUGCUAAAAUCCUCCUUUUUUGUUACAUAUUCAUUUAUAUCUUGAAAAAGUUUUUCUUCUUCAUUAUAGUAUUGAUACAGCUUUUCCAUGGUAUGCUGCACACUGUCGGUUUGCAAUGACUUUAUAUGUAUUUUUAUACAUUUUUUGAACAUAUGCUUUGUUUAUAUGUUAUGUUCAUUAUUUAUUAUUUUUUGUUUCAUUGUCGGCUCCCUUCAUUGUACAUGUAUCCACAUACCGUAGUUGUUCUAUUUAAGGAGGUCGCAUUUGUCCCCAUGUGUUUUUUUUCCGAUCGGGACGAGUGCACACAAUUUUUAAUGUUUGUAUAUUAUAUCCUUUUUUUGUAUGUAUUUUGGAAUUUUUCUUUUUAUGGAUAUGUGCUAUGGCUAUGGCUUAAUGUGGCUAUUGUUAUAUUUACAUCUUUCCAUUGUAUACCACGUUGUUACUACAGCUAUGUUACACUGGCCUUGAGGGGUGGACACCAUCCUUUGGACACGUGACCCUGACUAGUUCAGGUGCACCUGUUUGAUUGGUGGUGUACCGUCUACUUAAGCCCGCUGGAUUUAACAUUUUUUAGUAUGAGUAAGGCUAGGCUAUCUGGCUGAAAUGAGUCACUUUUACCCUGUUCCUGUUGGUACCUGAAUAAAAGUUUUCCUACUGCAUGAGGUCUGCGCUGGAUCUAUUUCUCUAUAUAGGGAUUGUGUACAAUUACAAUAAACAGAUGCAGGGGGGGGGGGGGGGGGGCAGGGGACACUGCAGGAGGCUGUCUGACAGGGCAGCAAGGGUACGGGGUAACACCUCCCUUACUGGGCCACCACAAUGGUUUCUCCUUGUGAGCUGACAUUGAUGUUUAGUCAUUAUCAAUUUGACAAGCAUUUCCUCAACUUCCCUUUUUUUCUGCCAUGGCCCAUCUCACAUAAUGGUGAAUGGUGGUUGGUUUAUGGACAGUUGCACUUUCUUUAACGGGGUA